CAGCUUUACGACGAGUUCAUUGUGAAUGGAUUUCAAAUGAAGACAAUUGACUAUGGUGAGCUUUCGAAGAUGAAUGGCCCUACAGAAACUUGCAUAGAAGUCCCACUUCAGGCUGAAAAUUGUGAAGAACAGAGGACAGCGUGUGAGGAGUUUCUCACCAGUUCAGCCUUCAGUAGCUGUGAGGACCUGAUUUCCACGGACUCCUUCGUCGAGGC